UAUCAAAAGGAGGUCACUGAAGGAAAAGGGUUCAAUUCCUGUGACACCUACGCCAUGGCUGCCGCCAUCGAUGAUUCAUUCAUAAAAGAGUCUGAAGAGCUGCCGUGCCAGUGGAGGUGGAGGGGACCUACACCCGAGGCAUGAUGGUACUGGACUACAUGCAUCUGCUGAAGAAGAAAAACAAGGCCUUCAUCAUAAAGAAAGUGGACUUGGAGAAGUUCAAGCAAAUGUUAAUGAAUUCAUUGAAGUAGAGUGAUACUGUAACAAGCUGAAUGCAUGGAUUUGGUCCCCAAAAAUAAAUAAAAAUGGUGUGUGAAAACACAAUAUUACACAAUAUUACAAUACA